rnacentral:rRNA from 1 species
UACGUAGGGACCGAGCGUUGUCCGGAAUCAUUGGGCGUAAAGAGCUCGUAGGCGGUUUGUCGCGUCUGCCGUGAAAGUCCGGGGCUCAACUCCGGAUCUGCGGUGGGUACGGGCAGACUAGAGUGAUGUAGGGGGAGACUGGAAUUCCUGGUGUAGCGGUGGAAUGCGCAGAUAUCAGGAGGAACACCGAUGGCGAAGGCAGAUCUCUGGGCCGUAACUGACGCUGAGGAGCGAAAGCGUGGGGAGCGAACAGG